UGCAAGUCGAACGAUGAAGGAGGAGCUUGCUCCUCCGGAUUAGUGGCGAACGGGUGAGUAAUACGUGAGCAAUGUGCCCUUGACUCUGGGAUAAGCGCUGGAAACGGCGUCUAAUACCGGAUACGACGACCGGAGGCAUCUCCUGGUCGUGGAAAGAACUUCGGUCAAGGAUCAGCUCACGGCCUAUCAGCUAGUUGGUGAGGUAACGGCUCACCAAGGCGACGACGGGUAGCCGGCCUGAGAGGGUGACCGGCCACACUGGGACUGAGACACGGCCCAGACUCCUACGGGAGGCAGCAGUGGGGAAUAUUGCACAAUGGGCGCAAGCCUGAUGCAGCAACGCCGCGUGAGGGACGAAGGCCUUCGGGUUGUAAACCUCUUUUAGCAGGGAAGAAGCGAAAGUGACGGUACCUGCAGAAAAAGCACCGGCUAACUACGUGCCAGCAGCCGCGGUAAUACGUAGGGUGCAAGCGUUGUCCGGAAUUAUUGGGCGUAAAGAGCUCGUAGGCGGUUUGUCACGUCUGCUGUGAAAACCCGAGGCUCAACCUCGGGCUUGCAGUGGGUACGGGCAGACUAGAGUGCGGUAGGGGAGAUUGGAAUUCCUGGUGUAGCGGUGGAAUGCGCAGAUAUCAGGAGGAACACCGAUGGCGAAGGCAGAUCUCUGGGCCGUAACUGACGCUGAGGAGCGAAAGCAUGGGGAGCAAACAGGCUUAGAUACCCUGGUAGUCCAUGCCGUAAACGUUGGGAACUAGAUGUGGGGACCAUU
rnacentral:rRNA from 1 species